rnacentral:rRNA from 1 species
AGAGUUUGAUCCUGGCUCAGAUUGAACGCUGGCGGCAUGCCUAACACAUGCAAGUCGAACGGAAACGAUGGAAGCUUGCUUCCAGGCGUCGAGUGGCGGACGGGUGAGUAAUACUUAGGAAUCUGCCCAGUAGUGGGGGACAACUCGGGGAAACUCGAGCUAAUACCGCAUACGCCCUACGGGGGAAAGCGGAGGAUCUUUCGGGACUUCGCGCUAUUGGAUGAGCCUAAGUCGGAUUAGCUUGUUGGUGAGGUAAAAGCUCACCAAGGCGACGAUCCGUAGCUGGUCUGAGAGGACGAUCAGCCACACUGGGACUGAGACACGGCCCAGACUCCUACGGGAGGCAGCAGUGGGGAAUAUUGGACAAUGGGGGCAACCCUGAUCCAGCAAUGCCGCGUGUGUGAAGAAGGCCUGCGGGUUGUAAAGCACUUUCAGUAGAGAAGAAAAGUUCAGGGUUAAUACCCCUGAAUCUUGACGUUACCUACAGAAGAAGCUCCGGCUAACUCCGUGCCAGCAGCCGCGGUAAUACGGAGGGAGCGAGCGUUAAUCGGAAUUACUGGGCGUAAAGCGCGCGUAGGCGGCUUUGUAAGUCGGAUGUGAAAGCCCCGGGCUCAACCUGGGAAUGGCAUUCGAUACUGCAGAGCUAGAGUAUGGUAGAGGGAAGUGGAAUUUCCGGUGUAGCGGUGAAAUGCGUAGAUA